rnacentral:rRNA from 1 species
AGAGUUUGAUCCUGGCUCAGGACAAACGCUGGCGGCGUGCCUAACACAUGCAAGUCGAACGAUGCAGGGAGAGGGUAACUGAUUUCUGCGUAGUGGCGGACGGGUGAGUAACGCGUGGGCAACCUGCCCCGCACAGGGGGACAACACCGGGAAACUGGUGCUAAUACCGCAUGACACAGCCUAUGGGCAUCCAAGGGUUGUCAAAGGAGAAAUCCGGUGCAGGAUGGGCCCGCGACCGAUUAGCUGGUUGGAGAGGUAACGGCUCACCAAGGCGACGAUCGGUAGCCGGACUGAGAGGUUGAACGGCCACAUUGGGACUGAGAGACGGCCCAGACUCCUACGGGAGGCAGCAGUGGGGAAUAUUGCUCAAUGGAGGGAACUCUGAAGCAGCGACGCCGCGUGAAGGAUGAAGGUUUUCGGAUUGUAAACUUCUUUGACCGGGGACGAGUAAGGACGGUACCCGGAAAACAAGCCACGGCUAACUACGUGCCAGCAGCCGCGGUAAUACGUAGGUGGCGAGCGUUGUCCGGAUUUACUGGGUGUAAAGGGCGUGCAGGCGGCGCUGCAAGUCAGAUGUGAAAGCCCGCGGCUCAACUGCGGGACUGCAACUGAAACUGUGGUGCUUGAGUGUUGGAGAGGGAAGCGGAAUUCCCAGUGUAGCGGUAAAAUGCGUAGAUAUUGGGAGGAACACCAGUGGCGAAGGCGGCUUUCUGGACAACAACUGACGCUGAGGCGCGAAAGCGUGGGGAGCAAACAGGAUUAGAUACCCUGGUAGUCCACGCUGUAAACGAUGGAUACUA